rnacentral:tRNA from 1 species
UUCCCUAUGGUCCAGUGGUUAGGACUCUGUGCUCUCACUACUGAAGGCCUGGGUUUGAUCCCUGGUUGGGGAA